CACAUCCACUCCCCACCACGCACCCACUCCCCACCACACAUCCACUCCCAACCACACACCCACUCCCCACCACGCACCCACUCCCCACCACACAUCCACUCCCAACCACACAUCCACUCCCCACCACACAUCCACUCCCAACCACACAUCCACUCCCCACCACACACCCACUCCCCACCACACACCCACUCCCGACCACAGACCCACUCCCCACCACACACCCACUCCGCACCACGCACCCACUCCCCACCACACAUCCACUCCCAACCACACACCCACUCCCCACCACGCACCCACUCCCCACCACACAUCCACUCCCAACCACACAUCCACUCCCCACCACACAUCCACUCCCAACCACACAUCCACUCCCCACCACACACCCACUCCCCACCACACACCCACUCCCCACCACACACCCACUCCCCACCACACACCCACUCCCCACCACGCACCCACUCCCAACCACACCCGCAGCUCAAUAUCUUCUCCAG
rnacentral:lncRNA from 1 species